rnacentral:rRNA from 1 species
UGAAGCGGAACAGCUCAAAUUUGAAAUCUGGCUUCGGCCCGAGUUGUAAUUUGUAGAGGAAGCUUUUGGUGAGGCACCUUCUGAGUCCCCUGGAACGGGGCGCCAUAGAGGGUGAGAGCCCCGUAUAGUCGGGAUGCCGAUCCAAUGUAAAGCUCCUUCGACGAGUCGAGUAGUUUGGGAAUGCUGCUCAAAAUGGGAGGUAAAUUUCUUCUAAAAAGCUAAAUUACCGGCCAGAGACCGAUAGCGCACAAGUAGAGUGAUCGAAAGAUUGAAAAGCACUUUGAAAAGAGGGUUAAAUUAGCACGUGAAAAUUGUUGAAAGGAAAGCGUUUGUGACCAGACUUGCGCCGUUCCGAUCUAUCCGGUGUUCUCACCGGUGCACUCGGGACGGCUCAGGCCAGCAUCGGUUUUGGCGGGGGGACAAAGGUCCUGGGAACGUAGCUCCUCCGGGAGUGUUAUAGCCCAGGGCGUAAUCCCUCGCCGGGACCGAGGUUCGCGCAUU